AAAAUACAACAGAAAAUUACACCUUUGAACCCUGUGCUUUGUGUCUUCAGGAGUCACUGAUUAGAAUACAAACACUCUUGUCAGGCCUAUCAUCUUAAGACUUAUAUGGUUUUAUUUGGCCACUAGCAGAGAGCAAAGCUCUGUGGGACUGGUUUGGGAUGGUGUGAAGUAGAGGUCAAAGGUGCUGAAGAGAAUCAAGGGCAAAUUUUGUUUCAUAACACUCAAUCUAACCUAAGGUUAAGAUCUCCUAAGUAUAAAUUUCAAGGAAAAUAAAGUUAGGAAUAUAAUCUGACUAUCUGUACAAAAUUUUUUUUUUUAUUAUUUGUACAAAGUCACAAACAGAGGUCAGAAACAGGACCAUGAACAAAAGAAAUCUGACUCCAAAAAGCACUGAGGAGGCUCCAAAGUGUAAACUGACUAAAACAAUGGAAAAUCAAGGAUCGGGAUGUAAUGGAUUGGGGGCCAAGGACAUGUUGCUAGCGAGCAGGCUACAAGGAGCCAUGUCUCCUCCAUGCCUUGAUCUAAGCUUGCCAUGAACUCCUACCUGCUCAGCCAGCCUCCCCCUUCACUCUGCUUUGCCAGUCUCAGCAACCAUCUGGUUUUUGCUCUCAUUAGCAUCAGAAUGGGACAGAUAAGGCACUUAUCUGUUGUCUGUCACCUAGAAUAUACCCAAAAACUGUUGCUUUGGUUUCCUUCCCCCUUUUUAGCUAUAAAACCAGAACCAAGAAUCAAAUAGAUUUUCCAAUUAAGGAUUAGAACGAAUCCACACAUGAUCAAAUACUAAAAAUAUUUUUGGACAGUAGAGAAUUGGGACUAUAUCUACAUAGUUUACUUACAAACCUUUGAGGGCUGGGACCUUAAAACCACCUCAUCAGUGAUUCUUGAAGAAGUAGGAGAAGUUUGGAAAAAAAACUCCCUUAUGAUGCUAACAUGCUCCUGAUUAGCCCCCAAAGCCACUUACACUCCAGGGAAAAAAUUACAGCUUUCCCGAACCUUCUUCCCACAUCUAAAGAAACUGAAUUGCUUUUCACUGAGGCAACUGGUAGCUGCUGUCCCAUGGGAAAGCUUCUUUUCAAAAACAUGCAGUGUGAUUCCAUGUCAAAUUCGGAAAUGCUGCAUGUGCUAAAACAAGUCAGAAAUAUCUGGCCAGAUUAUGAAAAAAAAGAAAAAAGAAAACUUGUGGGCAGCCAACCAGAGACCGAUUUGGCUAGGAAGGAUGUCAGGGGGAUUUCCAAAGUCUCCUAAUUGAAGGACAGUGAUAGUGGUUACAAAUAUUCCAGCUGUGAAUUAGUGAAGAGACUCCCCCAAUGGCAGGAACUAUAAUGUUUUGAAAGGAAAAGGAAGCUUCAGGACUAUGAAAAAAGAUACUAGACAGUACCUUACCACUACUGAUUCUGCCAUGAGGGAAAAAGGGAACAAAGGGUGCUUUAGAGAAAACCACCUCACCACAAACACCAAAACUCUCCUCCUGACAAGGCCUUACCACAGAUGUUGUUCAGAUCUCUGAAGAAGGGUUUCUGACGGUUUAGCUCUCUACUGUAUUAUAAAGCAUUCUUCUAAGGUUUAUACUUUCUCUAGGCACAGUAUCUGAUAAUGAUGGAGCAGAGUCCAAUUUAUUCAAAGGAAGGACUCUUCACAAGGGUGUGAAUUUGUUAGAGCCUGGACAAAUCACAAAAAGUACAGGCUAAACUACCAUCAAAGACAGGAACCAUAGACCCACAGUUUUCCAAUUCUGACUUCAAUUUUGAGGCACGGCUUCAUCAUGCAGAGCUCCCUUUCUGAUGUGUCCAUGUACCAGACAGAAAGAGAAAAGAGAAUCAUAUGGUCCUAUCAUUAUCACAGAUGCUUUCUUUUAUCUGUGUGAAAACUUCUGUGUGAAGUUCCUGAUUGCUCAGAGAAAAUUCACAACCAAGUGUUGCCCCACAAUGCUAUGUGGCUUUUUUAAAGAACAGGAAGUUCUGGUGCCCGUAUCUGGGAGUGGCAACACACACAAGCCUCUCAAUGUUAGCCACAGCAGCUACGGUUGCUAACAGUCGUGACCACCAGAGGAAAUGUGCAAUGAGGCUACCAGUCAUCAGCCAUCGAGGAAGAAAAAAAGGAAGGACGAAGAGCACACAUGGCACAGAGAGAAAGUAGAUGCUAUGGCAGGGUGAAGCUUAGACCUGGGAGGGAAGGAAAUAUAUCACCAGACAAGACCAGAGGGAGCAAAAGGGUCUGGAAUUCUCUUUCAGCUGAUGAACCCAAGCAAAGCUAUAAACUUGCUGGAACCCAUGGGUCAUCACAAAAUUGAAUAUGUAUUGUCCUAGCUGAUCUUGUUAGCGUCCCCCAAUACACAACAGGAUGGACCAUUGUGACCCAUAUGGUUUUCAGUGGACGCUUUUCAGGAGUAGAUAUUCCUUCUUAGUCUAUCUUAGCAUCAUAGCAACCACAAGCCUCCAGUGAUAGACAAGUGGUGGCUGUGCUUGAGGGGCAAUGCCCGUGAAUUGAACCCCCAUCUCCCACACGGAAGGUGAGAAUUCUACCCCUAAACCACCGCUGUCUCUAUUUUCCUAGCAGAUGGGGAAAUAUAAUAACAAUAUUUGAAAUGUCUUCCUCAGCAAUAAAAUUUGGUAUAUUUAAACAAUAUUCAUAGUCUGCAUGUUUAUUAUAAGCAUCCUUAAGCAACUGAAUUUUCUCUCAAAAGCUCUGUAAGACAAGACAAGCAGAUUCUCUAAACUAUAGGUGUUUUGGAGAAGAUGCUGAGCUUGCCUACCCCAUGUGUGGCCAUACGCAGAGGGCAUCCUUUGGAUGGUUACACCUCACUGGUUUCUAAUAUUUGGGUCAGGAAAUCAGCUAAAUGGAGGUCUCUUUAGCAAACUAGACCUUAUCCUCUUAUAGAAAAAAAGAAAAGCACCUUAGCAAUAUGCCCAUGAAUGGAAGAUGCAGAAAAAAAAAUAAAAAAGCAGGCCCUGAGCUGCCAUUAUCUUGGCUUCUGUAUUCUUUAGCCACCUAUUUCUUCUAUCCAGUGAGGGGCAGUGCUGAUUUUUCUUUCCAAAGCUUGAAAACAAAGCUAACAUAUCUUCCAAUAUCCUGCAUUAUGUACUGUGAUUGAGUAUAUGGGCCUGUAGGUUUAAGACAUUCCUCCCAGACUUCUGAGGUUCAGAGCGGGCCUGCAUACCUCCUGUAUACUAUUUUAAGGAUUUUAGGAGGUGGGGCAGUGUUUCGGGGGUGAAUUACUUACUCACUUACAGAGUGCUUUGGUCAUUAUCUCACAGCUCGGCCCGGUCUGAGUUUGUCCUCCCUUUGCCUAGACCCCUGGUAGUUCCAGAACUCAGAGACGAGGAUGUGAAAGACAGCUUGAGAAACAUGAUGUUAGGACAACUGGGGUGGAGAGGGUUGUUCUAUUUGACAGGAAUUAUGAAGUUAAAAUCAAACUAGAAGCAGCCUAUGACACAUUAAAGAUGACUGGGAAUUCUUUGACACUCUUCCUUUUGAGAAGUGGGCUCUAUUUCCCUUCCCUUGAAGCUGGACUGGCAGGUAAGUGCUUUGAUGAAAAAAGUGUGACAGAAAUGACACUGCUAGCUCUGGCCUUAAAUCUAAGAGUACUGGCAGUUUCCAACUUAAUCCCUGAGACCUCUGAGCCACAGUGUUAGAAGUCUGCCUAACCUGCUGGAGAGGCCAUAUGGAGAGGCCUUGAGUCUACAUGGAGAAGGGAAGGGGCCAAUGCAGCCCCUCUUUGCAUCUGUCCCCAUCAAACCAUCGGGCAUGUGAGCAAGCCAUCAUGAACUCACCAGAGCAGCCUGCCCACCAACUGAAUUCCACCAAAUGGAUACCAGGUGGAGCAGGACAAGCACCCCGCUAAGCCCUGCCUGAAUUCCUAACCAAGAAAGUUGUGAGAUAUAAUAAAAUGGCUGUUAUUUUAAAUUCUCAAGUUUUGAGGUGAUUUAUAGCAGCAAUGAAUAAACAAUAUACAGCUGAGAAGAGUACAUAGUCUCAAAAACAAAAUUCCCAAGUAUGGAAAACUUCAUACAUUUCAAAUUUUAGUGAUCACUUAAAAAGUAGGUUAUAAUUUGAUUAAGUGUGUCUGUUCCGUAAUAUGUACACAGGGAAGAGAAAAGCUAGGGAGAAAAUUAAGGAACCUCUUGCCUGUUGGCAUGGCUUUCAAAUAGAGAUGUUAUGUAAUAAGUAUGCUUCUGAAAGUUGUAUGUAAAAUUGGAUCAUUGUAAACCUUUGCAACAAAUACUUAUUGAGUCACUGCUACAGACCAGUCACUGUGUUAACCACGGAUUGUAAUAAUUAUCAAAAUAUAAUUUUUGCCCUCGAGAAUCUUGCUCUGUAAUGUACUAUUGGCUAAUUAAUAUGUAAAUUUUUAAAUUUGGUUUAAGUAAGGGGUUGGCAAACUUUUUCUGUAAAGGGCCAGAUAGUAAAUAUUUCAAGCUUAGUGGGUCAAAUCCGCCAUAGUAGUGCAAAAAGCAUCUUUAGACAAUAUGUAAACAAAUCAGCGUGACUGAGUUCCAAUAAUGAAAUUUGAAUUUCAUGUAACUGAUACAUCAUGAAAUAUUACUCUUUUUAUUUUUUCUCAACCAUUUGAAAAUAUGAAAAUGAUUCUUAGCUCAAAGGUUAUAAAAUCACUCUUAGCUAAAUUUGACCCACAGGCCAUAGUUUGCCAUCCCCCAGUUUAAAUCAUGAUCAGAUGGGUCUCGAGCAGGUGGAGCAUGUAGAAAAAUAAAAGAUUUGUACUGAGAUGAAUUUACGACUUUGGAGUGCCUUGAUAACCAAUAAAAAUCUGCCUCCUAUUUCUGAUUUCUUCCAUCCAUAAGGGCAUGAACCAUUGUUGGUAAGAACAAGCUUAGAUGGCUUACCAGGGAGGAGCUCCGGGAAGCAUCAAGGCCCCAGACUAGGGAGAAGUCAGCCAAAGGAGGGGAAGAACCACAGAGUGGGAGUGGGAGGGGAUGACGGUAAAGGGAAGUGUGAUGUCUGGGAAAGGUUUAAACAAAAAGCACUCAAAUAGCGAAAGUAGAACUUUGGAGAAGGACAGAGUACCAAUAUUUAACAAAAGUCUCCCUCCCUCCCUCCUUUGUAAAUUCCCAGUGCCCUUAGGUACAGCCCCUCAUGAUGUGUAUGUACACCGGGAGCCAGGCAUAUCGAAAGUACAGAGAUAAAUAAAGCAGAAAAUUUAAGACACCUUUGUCCUUGAAUGAAGGAGCCCUGGUGGCACAGUGGUUAAAACGUUUGGCUGCCAACCAAGAGGUCCAUGGUUCGAACCCAUCAAAUGCUCUUUGGGAGAAAGAUGUGGUAGUCUGCUUCCAUAAAGAUUACAGCCUUGGAAACCCAAUGGGGCAGCUCUACUCUGUCCUAUAGGAUUGCUGUGAGUCGGAACCAACUUGGCAACAGUUGGUUUUCGGUUUUGUCCUUGAAUUGCUAUUUUUGGUUUAUUUUCAUCAAUUACCAGUAUUCCUUUCAACUUUACCAUUCCACUUUAGGCUGAAAUAAACUUAUUUUGGCAAAACACUUGCUAAAGAUUUGAUGCUUUGCAUAUGAAAUCUUUGCAUUUCCUUUGUUUUUAUACAAAAAGCAAAACUGAUGUAAAAAUGGAAAACCUGUGGAGAUUUCCACAGGAUUCCUAUUUGCUACCAUGUUUAUUGCAAAAUAAAGAAGUUAUGUGUCAAAAAAUGUGCUAGGGAUAGAAGGGUUGACAUCAUCCACAGCUUGAUGAUGUUUUUUUGUUUGUUUGCUUUUGUUUUUGCUUUUGCACAUUCUUAUGACUGUUUGACUAAAAGAGCUAGGAUCUUUACAGGAAGAAAAAGAAUCAAAGAUGCACACUUUUCUACUCUCUGUAUUCAGAAAUGAAGUGUCGCCUGUUGUAGAUAUGCAUCUUUCUCAUGCUUUCCAUAGAAUGAAGGCAGCUCAUGAUGGCUUUGUUCACAGGACUCUUUCCAACAGCUGACAGGACAGGUAAGCCCCAACUAUUUCCAUCAUGCUAUCAAUGAAGACACCCAAACAACAGGAAUUAGGUAAGCACUUAAACCACACUAAGCUAGGUUGAGCUUGCUUUGGGGAAGAAGUGGAAAGUUCUUUACAUACAGGCAGGUAGUUUGCGUGAUUUAUAAUAUAGGCUAGAUGACUAAUGACCUGUGGGUUCUUUUCACUCAGAAGGUCACAUGAUUCUUCUUUUAGGUCUCAAAUCAACCACUUCCAUUUUGCCUAACCUACAAAAAUAAAAGCCUUGAAUGGUCAACAGUAUCAUUUAUUGAAAGUUGAUUUUGUAACUCCCCCUUCUUACUUACUGCUUUAGUUCUUAUGUGCAGAAUGUAAUGAAAGUUGAAAAAUGUAAAUGUGGAAGAAGUUUUGCUCUAAUUAUUAGGGUUGUUUUGGGUUAAAAUGAACACCAUGCACACAUAAUUUGUUUCGGUAAGAGCAAUGCUUAUGUAAUCAUUGCUUCCCAGAGCACAUCGCCAACACAAAUUUGAAAGCUGGAAGUAAGGGAGGAAGGGAGGAGAAAGGAAGAGAGGAAGAAAACAGGAAAGGGAGGAUGGUUUAGUUUUAAUCAAAGACAUAUUUGGCUCAUAUUUUUACCUCUUUUAACUGGGACUCCAGCCCUACAGGUGUUCCUCACCCCACCCCUCUACCUCUGACAUGGUGAGCAGCUUGGCUUUUCCCCUAAACCAAACCUAGACAAUUACUGUCAACUCGAUACUGACUCAUAGCGACCCUACAGGACAAAGUAGAACUGCCCCAUAAGGUUUCUAAGGCUGUAAUCUUUACAAAAGCGGACUGCCACAUCUUUCUCCUGCAAAGCAGCUAGUGGGUUUGAACAGUCGACCUUUUGCUUAGCCACUGAGCACUUUAACCACUGCAUCACCAAGGUUUUUCCCCUAUUGAGGGAAUAAUACUUAGUACCUUUCUCCUCUACAAACAUUAAUGGCUACUCAGUUGAGUCAGUGCGUAGAGCGUAGACGGGCCUUUCCAACAGGGAUCCUUCAGCCCUUCCAACAGUCUCUCCUCUCUCCGUUGCUGCCAAUCAACUGACAGUCCUUCUAUCAUCACUAGUCUGACAAUAUAAAGAAUCUGUAUCAACCAAGAGCACCUCAUUAGACUAAUGGAAGAAGACACUCCUUCCACAUCAAACAUCCAGUCUUGGGUGACAGGAAAUAUUCUGUCCUGAACAUAGCCUGUCUGCCCCCUAACAGUCACUUAGUCUUGUAAAUCUUCUCAAGUAAUUGACUAAUGAAUCCUCCAUAUUUUCUUCAGGAAAGUUGUGGUAGGCAGAAUAAAGGCCCCCAGAGAUGUCCUGUCUUACACCCUGGAACCUGUGGAUAUGUUACAUGGCAAAAGGGAAUUAAGAUUGCAGAUGAAAUUAAGGUUGUUAACCAGCUGACCUUAAAAUAGGGAGAUUAUCCUGGACGAUCUGAGUGGGUAAAUGUAAUCACAAGGGUCCUUAAAUGUGGAAGAUGGAGGCAGAAAAGGAGUCAGAAUUAUAUAAGAAUUCGAGCUGCUAUUGCUGGCUUUGAAGAUGGAGGAAGUGGGCCACGAGCCAAGGAAUAUGGGCAGCCUUUAGAAGCUGAAAAAUUUGCAGGAAAGGAUUCUCCUCUAGAACAUCCAGAAAGGAACACAGCCCUGCUAAUACUUCAACUUUAGUUCAGUAAGACCCACAUUAGGCCUCUGACCUACAGAACUGUAAGAUAAUGAAUUUGUGUUGUUUUAAGCAACUAAGUUUGUGUUAAUAUGUUACAGCAGAAAUAAAAAUUAAUAUAGAAGCCACUGGGGGCAAAGCCAGUCCAUGAUGCUUGAGUAGUGGCCCUGUACUCAUCCUAGACUCCAGUGGUAAGGCCCAGGCACACAGUUCAUGCCCCCCUCAGCAUGUGGUCUUCCCAUAGCAUCCUCCCUAGAGGUUGAUAUAAGAUUUCAUCUGAACUGACUAAUGUCUCUAGAUUUAACUUUGACUUCUAAAGUUCUCUUCACAAUUAUUGCAACUGAACCCAAAGAUUUUCAUGCAAAUUGUUACAUCGAUUGGCCUGAUGGACAUCAUAGGUACCUUUUCGUAUAUAGAAUCAGCCCAAUUCUUCACUCAGUCAUUCAUCAAGCACUUAUUGUUGAGCCAAAUGAUCCCUAAUUUCUUGUAGACUCAAAGGACUCCAAAAGAAGUUAAGCCCUCAUACAAAUGAAAAAAUUAUAGUUAUUACUUCCUAGAGCUAAUGUUCAAGAAAAUAACUACUUAAGUAAAUGCCUUUGCCACUACUUUCAUUUUUCUCUCAUGCUUGUUUUCCCUAGAAAUCUUAAGAACUAUAGAUCAAAAAGCUCUAAAUGGCCUGCAAUUCAUGGCUUUGCCUCUGUAGGAACUCAUCUUAGCAUAAGAUGUUUGGUCUAAGCAUAAGUGAGUUUUGUAGAGAUCCAGCCCUUUAUUGAUGGUGUAGUGUAGUAGUUAAGGCCCAGCUCUCAAAUUAGACUGCUCAGGUUCAAAUUCUGGCUAGGCUUCCCACAAGCUAUAUGAGGGAACCAGUUACUUAACUUGUUACUACCUCUAUUGCCCCAUCUGUAAAAUGAGGAAAAUCCCAUGCUUUUUUAUGCAAAUAACACAUGCUUUCUAUGUUUGCCAACCACUCCCUCCCCCAUGAGGUAUUUUCAGAAGGGCAGCUAUGCCAAUUUUUUUUUUUUAACAUGUUGCUGUGAAAAAAAUUAACAUAGUGUACUUACAAAAAUACCAUGGCGGGAAAGGAGGGAAGUGGUUGGCCAACAAACGUAGGUUUAAGUUAUUUGUGUAAAAUUACUGUAAUAGCAUCCACUUUACAGAAUAGUUGUAAGAGUAAAGAAGUUCAUAUAUGUAAGAAGCUUAGAGCAGUGUCUGAUGUAGACUAAGUAUCCUUGGUCAUUGACAUGAUGCUUCAUCACUCUUCUGUCCUCCCACCAUUAAGGUUUGGAUAACUUGAUAACUUCUGGUCUUGCCAAAGUCCAGACUUUCAACACAUAGCUUUCCAAAGGAAAGUGCGAUGAUAUACUCAUUCCCAGUGGCCAACCAAAUGCAAAAUCCAUGUUUGGAAAACAGUUUUCAUACUGUUAUUCCCCUUAACUGAGGCCAAAAUAAGUUCUCCAAGUGGUUUUAAGAUAUAUGUCACUCAAAAUUAACUCCCCCUAAGCCACUUAACUAAAUUCCUUAGAGAAGUAAUCCUUCAAAGUGAUAAUGGGCAAAUCAUCUGUAUCAAAAGUACCUGCAGUAUAUGUUAAAAUGAAAAUUCUUAGACCUCACCCAAAAUUUAAUAAACUGGAAUGGAGGUCCACAAAUCUGAAUAUUAAUAAGCAUGUAAUAUGUAGUAAGUGAUUCUUAUGCAUACAAAGAUUAAGAAUCAUUGACUUAACAAAUCUUUAAUUCGAAAUCCAACCUCAUUUUAUUAUGGCAGAUAAUUUGGCAGGAAAAACAACUAUGAAGAAAGGUCAGGAUUAGCUGACUUACACAUUGUUUUUUCCCAACAUUUUUUAAAGCAAACCAUGCCUCCACUUUCUUAAGAAAGAGAAAUAGGGAGAAUUGGAAUACUGAAAAACGUGACUCACUAACAGAGAAGAGCAUUUAUCUCCUGGUAACUCAGACACCACCGUACAUGUAUACAUGGUGUGGGAUGAAUGAAUUUUAUAAUACAGUGGUUUUCACAAUAGAUGCUUCAUGAUUAGAAUUUAGAUUCUAAUAUUGGAAUAUUAGAAAUGCACCCACAUGAAAAUCCUGAAAUUAUUCCUGAAUGCAUUCCUUAUUAAUUUUCCUUCACCGUGUGAUAUAAUCAGCUGAGAAUCAUCGGCUCUUAAAACAAGAGGAACAUUGCCUCAGCAUGUUUAUUGUGUAAUAAAGUGGUUACGUGUCAGAAAUGUGCUCGGAAUAGAAGAGUUGACAUCAUCUACAGCCUGGUGAUGAGUUUUCUUUCCAUACCUCCAAAAAAGGAAAACAAAAACCACAUUUUGGUAGGCAAUGCCAAAUAUUUCCUAAUACCCUUUUCAUUUUUAUAGGUUUUUGUGUUUGUUUGUUUGUUCUUGUUUUUUACCGUGGUUAAUUAAUGUUCAACCACAAAUAUUUAAGGAAAAUAUUUUUGGGCACAUAUGUUUUGCUGUAACUGCCCUUUCAGUUUUUCACAGUGUAAAUGGUAGGUCUCCUGCAUCAGAAUCUCCCGUUUUCCUUCUUUCAAAUUAAGACUGUAUCCCAAACCUCUGAGAUUAACACCUAGAAACCUGCAUUUUUAAUGAACUUCCCAGACAAUAUUAUGCACGCUUAAUUUGAGAACCAAUUCUCUCUGAGAAUUUAUAACAGAAUUUAAACUUGAUGUAUUUUUUCUUAUUUUUGUAAAGUACACUUUAAAAUUACAGUAAUGGUGAACUCAGUAAACAGAAAUUGAGAAGAUUAGUUCACGACAUAUCCCUUUUCACAAAAAAAAAAAAAAUCAUGUCUAUGCCUGUAGUGAAAAUAAAUGAGUGGAUUAACACAUGAAGAAAUAAAAUUGAGUCAAUGAGUAUGAAUUCUUUGACUUUGCCAGAAACAGAAAGAUAAAACAAUGAAGUUAUAUAAUUUCUAUUAAUGAGCCGUGGUGGCACAGUGGUUAAGAGCUACAGCUGCUAAUCAAAAGGUUGGAAGUUUGAAUCCACCCUAUGGGGCAGUUACACUCUGUCCUAUAGGGUCACUAAGAGUCAGAAUCUAUUCCACGGCAACAGAGUAACCUCUAUUAAACUCAUACUGGCAGGCCUAAGUAACCCACAAUCAUGUUUAAACCUAUUUAUCCCACAGACUGCCUUAAUUUUUUUUCUCAUAUGUCAAGAAAAAAAAAAAAAACCUAUUAUGUAUCCACCAGAAGCAUGAAUAGAAUGUAAACCAAACCAACAAGUUUUACAAUCGUUUUUGUAGUUGUUUGCUAUCUUUGUUUUGACUUUAUAGAUUUCUCUCCUUUUUUUAUUGUGGUAAACAUACAGAUGGCAAAUCAUUUGCCAUUUCUACAAUUGUCACAUGUACGUAUAGUUUUUUUUUUUUUUAUAGUUCAGCAGCAUUAUAUUCACCACGUUCAACCAACACCAUUAAACAUUCCCGAAUUUUUCCACCACUCUUAACAGAAGCUAAUUGUCCCGUAAGCAUUGUAUCUUCCUUUCCCCCUCCCUCGCACCUACUCCUGUAUAAAUAAACUUUCAUCUGUAUACCCUUAUUUUAGAUAUUUCAUAUAAGUGGAAUUGUAGAAUAUUUGCCCUUUUGUGACUGACUUAUUUUACUCAACAUAAUAUUCCCAAGAUUCAUCCAUGUUGUAGUAUAUAUCAGGACUUUAUUUCUCUUUAUGGCUGAGUAAUAUUCCAUUACAUGUAUAUACCACAUUUUGCUUAUCUAUUCAUCUGCUGAUUGACAUUUUGGCUGUUUCUACCUUUUGGCUAUUAUGGAUAGUGUUACAAUAGAUCUUUAUUGAUGCAGAUAGUAUCAACUAAGAAUUAGCAUCUAUCUACUUGGAUUUGUCACAGAGAAGGCUGUCUACGUAUGGCCAGGCACUAUUCACUGCUCCCAUAAUUCAUGAGACCAGUUCACUGGCAAUGCAGGUAGGGAGGGAUCCUUCAAAUGGCUGCUCUUCAACAAUGUGGUUUGUCCUGGUCUGUUUGAGAAACAACUCUUGUUGCCACCUGAUGCUAACGACAGUGCCGCAAGCAUCAGAGUCUCUAUCCAGUACCCCGCAGGUGAGCUGGAGUAGCUACAGCACCUCUCACUCCUACUAAGUUACCUGGGUCAAGGAUUAUCCUCUUACAUUAUCAGUUUCCUAUUUAAGAUUAUGAAGAAGUAUUUUUAAAUCAUAGGAAACUUACAACAUGGAAAAAAUUUUAAGUCAUUCUAACCUUCCCCUUUACGCUAUUUCCAAUUGUUUAUGAAUCAAUUUGUAAAUAAUAAUCUUCCUUCUAAACUUAGCAAUAUAUUAUGGCUAUUUUUCCUAUCUGCAGAAUCUGUUCACUUAUUUUAAUAACGAUAUAAUGUCCCUUCAAAUACAAAAACCGUAGCUAACCUAAACUAUCCAUAUUGUUAGACACUUAUGUGGUUUCUAAUUUUUUAUUAUUAUACAUCAUCUUUUGAUGAGUAUUUAUGGUAUUUUCUAUAUUUUGCAUUAUCCCCUAUAACAGAUUCCCAGUUGCUCCUUAGAAGGAAGGAUGGUGAGACUCUAUCUUAUAUGCUUUGAACAUGUUAUAUGGAGGGACCAGUCCCUGGAGUAGAGCAUCAUGCUUUGAUAAGUAAAGAGUCAGUGAAAAAGAGGAAGACCCUCAACGAGAACGAUUGACACAGUGGCUACAACAAUGGGCUCAAACAUAAGAACAGUUGUGAGGGUGGCACAGAACCAGGCAAUGUUUCAUUCUGUUAUGCAUGGGGUCUCUAUGAGUUGGAACUGACUCGAUGGCACCUAACAACAACAAAGCAAAGGUGUAGUAUGUUUGCUGAUUUUUGGAAAAGGUUAUGCCAAUUUACAUAGCCCAACAAAGAUAAUAACAGUUCAUUUUUUUCACAGCAUCCUUGUGAAAAUUGGAUCUAUUUCUUUGGUUUUGGAUUUUUUUAUUUUGGUGCCAGGAUAAUUAAAUAAUUGAAAAGCAGUCCCUUUACUGUUACUGUAAUCUGCACACUUUGCUGUUUUUCCCCUAUGUAUAUUUAAAGUUUCUUGGCAGCUAGAAUGGGAGAGGCAGGAAAGAAGCAGAAUCUGAAUGGAAAAACUAAUAGGUAAAACAAUUGCGACCAGCCAGUGAAGAAGGCAUGGGACAUACCAGGAUAACUGCAGAGGGCAGAUGCUGAUUGAGUGAAAACAGAAUGAGUUCGGGAUCUGGAGGAGUUCUACAGUUGCCAAGUGGGAGAGCUAUAGGGCUGGAGGGUAAAGAGGAAAGAAGAGACCUAACCUUUGUUGAGCACUUACUAUAUGCCAGCAACUAUGCAAUAUAAUUUACAAACAUUAUAUUAUAUAACCUUUGCAAUAGCCCUGUACACUAGGUAUCUUAUUCUGGUCUUACAGAUGAGAAAACUAAAGUUCAGAGAGGUUAAAUAACCUCUAAGGAUCUAUAAAUGGCAGAACCAGGAUACAAACUAAGGUUGCCGACUCUGACCUAUGUACUUUCUUCCCCAUUGUGCUGUUUCACCGGAACCUUUGGUUCUAAGGUCUGUUUUGCCACCAAUUAGGAGUGUGGCCUUGAGAAGGUCAUUUAAGCUCUUUUGGCCUUGCUUCCCUGUAUGUAAAACAAAGACGCCGGGUUGGAUGAUUUCUGAGGUCCUUCUGUUUCUACAACAUUCUAUGACCCAGCAGCCCAGCUAAGACUCCAAUCCUGGGGCCCCUCCUAGUAAGACAGGUUCAAAAACACCAGGAAUCUUGGCCUGUGGCUCUGCUAAAGGCACUUCUGCGCCCUGGAAAAGGACAUUGAAAAUUGAAAGGGGGCUUGGGAACCCUAUCUCAGGAAGUUUCAGUCAUGGACCUGCUGGUAUCAGAAGCCAAGCUGUAUUUUAUUAAAGAAACAAUUUUAAAGUUGUUUAGAACUUUCCACGCUUAGAACAGAAUACCCUGCAACCAACUCUCUUUUCCCCAUCCCUGACUUCAGAGCCCUGGUGGUACAGUGGUUAAGUGCUAUGGCUGCUACCCAAAAGGCGGGCAGUUCAAAUUCACCACCUGCUCCUUGGAAACCCUAUGGGGCAGUUCUUCUCUGUAUUAUAGGGUCACUAUGAGUUGGAAUCAACUCGAUGGCAAUGAGUUUUUUACUUCAGUGCUGGAUUUUUCUAAUAUAUCACCAUUCCUACAUUAGGAUUCAUGGUACAUCCUUACACAAGUCUAGCAUUAUAGACCUCUUUUACUAGACUUAAUACCUAUCUCCAAAUUGUAAGUAAAGGCCAUCAUGACAUUAGUGGUUUCAACUCUUCUGAGCCAAACUAUUAGUAUGUCUCCAUCCUUUCGAUGAGAAAUAAAAUAAUAGUAAUAAUAGCUUCCAAUUACAGAGCAUCUGCUUUGUACCAUACAGUGCCAUACAGGCAAUGAAUGAGACACUACACACAGUAUCUCAUUUUACCCUCAGAACUCUAGACGUUAUAGUUAUUAUUAUCCUCAUUUUUACUAGGAAGAAUCUGAAGACUAAGAAACUCAAGGUCAUUUAUUCAUUUAAAAUAUAUUUACCACUCAUUGCCAUUCAAGCUGAUUCCAACUCACAGCGAUCCUAUAGGACAGAGUAGAACUGCCGCUACAGGGUUUCCAAGGCUGCAAUCUUUAAGUGAGCAGAUUGCCAGGUUUUUUCUUCUAGGAAGUCACUGGUGGGUUUGAACUGCCAACCUGUCGGUUAGCAGCCAAGUGCCUAACCACUUAGUUACCAGGACUCCUUAAGUACAUACACACAGAAGAAAAAAAUAUGGAAAGAUAUACUGUAAAAUGUUAAGAGCUAUAAUAUUUGAAUAAAGAAAGACUUUUAUUUUCUAACUUGCUCUUCCAUUUUUCUACCAUGAAUAUCGAUUAUCUUUGUAAUCAUAACAGAAAAUUGUUUAUUCCAAGAUAAAAUCUUGGCCCUGAAGAGACUUAGAAUGGAGUGAGAGAAAACAGACAUAUCAACGACUUGCUCCCACAGCUCACAAGUAAUUAGGGCAGUCUCGAAACUAGGGCUGUAAGAAUUCUAAAUCCGUAUACUGGUUCUGUCAGUAUAUUCAUUUGGUUGAGGAUUUCUGUGUAUUUGUUUUGUUUCAUUGAAAUUAAAUUAUAGACUUCAGAAGACAGUGCCAAAAAUGCAACCUGAAAGAUCUUCUAUUUGUAGCUUCACCCUUUGUUGCUGCUGGGCCUCCCUCCUUUCCUUCCACACCUACUGAUCUUUGUACCAAAGGAAAUGUGGAGGUGGUACUUGUGAACAUUUUUUUCUGAUAUCCUGGCCCCCUAAAGAGGUGCUUUAGAUGCAAUUAGUGGUUCUAAAAUAUCCAUCACAGGAAUUAGAUUUUUCCUAACCUAUCGCUUAAAUCAAGGCUCCCCGGGUGGCAUAAAUGGUUUGCAAUUGACUACUAACCCAAAGGUUGGGGGUUCGAACACACGCAGCAGCACUGUGGAAGAAAAGCCUGGUGAUCUGCUUCCGUUAAGACCAAAUGCACGAAAAUCUUAUGGAGCAGUUUUACUCUGUAACACAUGGACGGGGUCACCAUGAGUCAGAAUCAACUCAAUGGCAUUACAUUUGGGUUUUUUGUUUUUAUCACUUAAAUCUGAAACACAAUACAUGUUUCUUAAUGAAAGCUAUCCCAUCCUAAGGCUUCAGCUGGGCAGAGUUCAAAAAAGAACUCCAAACCCUUUCUCCUUAUCUAAUUCAUUUAUUCAGAAAAGAAAUGCUCAGUGAGUGCCUAAUAUCUCAAAAUCUGUCCUUCUCAAAUGCCCACUAACUCAUAGGACUUGAGUUUUUAAGUCUGUUAGCCUUUGAUUUGAUUUACUUUUCAGUCCUAUGGCAAUAGUUUCAUGGGGAUUAUUAGAAUUACUUUGACUUUGCUAACUUUAUUAAUGUGUUUGGUCUCCUUUUAUAUAAUUA